rnacentral:rRNA from 1 species
GACGAACGCUGGCGGCGUGCUUAACACAUGCAAGUCAAACGGAAAGGCCCUGCUUUUGUGGGGUGCUCGAGUGGCGAACGGGUGAGUAACACGUGAGUAACCUGCCCUUGACUUUGGGAUAACUUCAGGAAACUGGGGCUAAUACCGGAUAGGAGCUCCUGCUGCAUGGUGGGGGUUGGAAAGUUUCGGCGGUUGGGGAUGGACUCGCGGCUUAUCAGCUUGUUGGUGGGGUAGUGGCUUACCAAGGCUUUGACGGGUAGCCGGCCUGAGAGGGUGACCGGCCACAUUGGGACUGAGAUACGGCCCAGACUCCUACGGGAGGCAGCAGUGGGGAAUAUUGCACAAUGGGCGGAAGCCUGAUGCAGCAACGCCGCGUGCGGGAUGACGGCCUUCGGGUUGUAAACCGCUUUCGCCUGUGUCGAAGCGUGAGUGACGGUAAUGGGUAAAGAAGCACCGGCUAACUACGUG